GUGCCAGCAGCCGCGGAAUACGAAGGGUGCGAGCGUUAUUCGGAAUAACUGGGCGUAAAGAGCGUGUCGGCGGCUUCUUAAGUCAUCUGUUAAAGAACUCGGCUCAACCGGGUGUAUGCGGGUGAAACUGGGAGGCUAGAGUACGAGAGAGAAGGGUAGAAUUCUCGGAGUAGCGGUAAAAUGCGUAGAUCUCGAGAGGAAUACCGGUUGCGAAGGCGGCCCUUUGGCUCGUAACUGACGCUUAAGCGCGAAAGCGUGGGGAGCAAACAGGAUUAGAUACCCCGGUAGUCC
rnacentral:rRNA from 1 species